GGGGCUGUCCCGGAUUCGACAGGCGGACAGAGGGUAACAUAAGCAUACCGAAGGCUCGGCUUCGUAAAAACGGAAAUUAAAAUUAAACGCUAAUAAUAAGCAAGUUGCUAUUGCUGCGUAAUCGCGCAUAGCUGUCGGACGGGGGCUCCACGACCCCGCACCCGGCAUCGGAAAGUGGAACAGGGCUUCGCAGAAGUGUCUCGGUCUGCGUCGCGCCACUCAGGGACUUACCGAAGUAACCUUUGCGGACAGAGGUUAUCAGGAACAUUUAAUUAUCCGAUAAGUAUGUAGAAAGUGUUACGCGAAUUCGUUUGGACAGGAGUUCAACUCUCCUCAGCUCCACCA
rnacentral:tmRNA from 2 species